rnacentral:rRNA from 1 species
UACGGAGGGUGCAAGCGUUAUCCGGAUUCACUGGGUUUAAAGGGAGCGUAGGUGGGUUGGUAAGUCAGCGGUGAAAUCCCCGAGCUUAACUUGGGAACUGCCAUUGAUACUAUCAAUCUUGAAUACUGUGGAGGUAAGCGGAAUAUGUCAUGUAGCGGUGAAAUGCUUAGAUAUGACAUAGAACACCGAUAGCGAAGGCAGCUUACUACGCAGUUAUUGACACUGAGGCUCGAAAGCGUGGGGAUCAAACAGG